rnacentral:lncRNA from 1 species
GCGGGGCCCUGCCGAGGCCACAGCCGGCGCCUGUCCUCCCAGGUCGUCUCGAAGGCGAAGAUGAAAGCCACCCGAAACGGGCGCCCCGUUUCGCUGCUUUACACAAACAGGCAUCAUCCUUCCCACGCCCAUGCGAAAAUCAGCAAACAGAAACCCGCUCAGAGUGGAGCAGUGAGGCCGGCAGGGGAGACCCAGGGUAGGCACCAGUCCGUCAAUCGCAACAGGAGGAGAGUACUCGCAUCUCUAGAGCAAGUGACACUACUUUGCUAACUCCAGCAGGAGGAGGGAAGAUUACCUUCUCACCCGGCAACAGCUCAGCCAAUGAGAAACGCUACAGCUCAGCCAAUGAGAAGCCCUGCAGCUCAGCCAAUGAGAAAUAAUAUAGCUCAGCCAAUGAGAAAUACUACAGCACAGCCAAUGAGAAGCCUCCCAGCUCAGCCAAUGAGAAAUGCUGCAGCUCAGCCAAUGAGAAACACUGCAGCUCAGCCAAUGAGAAGUGCUACAGCUCAGCCAAUGAGAAGCCCCGCAGCUCAGCCAAUGAGAGACUGUCACAACUCAGCCAAUGAAAGGCCACUACACUUCCGACGCCCAUCUUCCUCCAGCGACUCUUCCUGUACGACAGCCCCUCCCACUCCCCUUCUCUGUAGGAGAAGAUCCUCUGCUUCGUUUCCCUGGACCUGCCUGUGGUUCAUAGAUUGUACGUCCUGAAUUGCAAUUCUUUGCUGUUCCCGAAUAAACCCAUUCAGCUGGUAAAAUAACUGACUUUUAUUUUUAAGGGCAACACCGAUACUAAUGAAAAGAUGAAAAAAAAAAAAAGGUGCUGCCCAUCGUGAUGCAACUGCCCUUCUAUACUUGAGAAAGUCUGCUCACCCCUCCCUGACAGGCCCACCCGAGUCUUGUCGGGAGUGCCAGGAUGCACACUUUAUCCCUUCUCCCUCUAUUGCCUUCGUGACUGUGAAGCUCAUGGGGGAAACUUGCAAACUUUACCACCAAGAACCACGUGAGAUAAAAUGGGAAAGACAAAGAAGAGGAGAAUUCAUUUAACAUAUGAUAUCUCAGAAAGGAAGAACAUGCAGAUCCAUGCUAGGGUCUUCAUCUCUACAGCUGGACAAGCGGCAGGGGUCUUUGAUGGAGGCACUAACUUCUGUGACUUCUCUGGAGAUGAAGUUCUGCUUGUGUCUACUAUUUUGGCAGGGCGGUCGAGCUGUAGGGUUUCACUUAGCCCUUCCUUCUUUC